AUUGAACGCUGGCGGCAGGCUUAACACAUGCAAGUCGAGCGGGGGAAGGUAGCUUGCUACCGGACCUAGCGGCGGACGGGUGAGUAAUGCUUAGGAAUCUGCCUAUUAGUGGGGGACAACAUCUCGAAAGGGAUGCUAAUACCGCAUACGUCCUACGGGAGAAAGCAGGGGAUCUUCGGACCUUGCGCUAAUAGAUGAGCCUAAGUCGGAUUAGCUAGUUGGUGGGGUAAAGGCCUACCAAGGCGACGAUCUGUAGCGGGUCUGAGAGGAUGAUCCGCCACACGGGGACUGGGACACGGCCCAGACUCCUACGGGAGGCAGCAGUGGGGAAUAUUGGACAAUGGGGGGAACCCUGAUCCAGCCAUGCCGCGUGUGUGAAGAAGGCCUUAUGGUUGUAAAGCACUUUAAGCGAGGAGGAGGCUACUUUAGUUAAUACCUAGAGAUAGUGGACGUUACUCGCAGAAUAAGCACCGGCUAACUCUGUGCCAGCCGCCGCAGUAACAC
rnacentral:rRNA from 1 species